rnacentral:misc_RNA from 1 species
AAUACUUCCUGUUUUGGUGACCUUUCUGGAAUAAUACUUCCUGAUUUGGUGAAUAGACACUGUACACAGAGCUGGUGUGUUUUAAAAUGAGGUUAUUUAUAUAAACUUGUGUAGAGAAUUUACGGUAUGAGUGGUUGAUUCCCAUGGUAACAAGCACCCAACAGAUCAAAGACUCUAUGAGUGAUAUUUAGCGGGGCAUUUCUCAUCGAUUUUUGAGUUGGUCACUGGUUGAACUGUAUUUCUGUUUGAGUCAAUAGAUAGACAAAUGUUGUCAACAGUGGGGUCAAAAAUAAAGUCAAAAAAUUGAAGUAUGGAAGUGACCAAUGAAAAAACAGCUCACUGAUUAUUCCAAUAAGAUUCUUUGUAACAAAAACUGCAUGAAAAUUGUUGGUGAAGUUAUUGAGAUGACAAUAGCUUAGAGACAUUUGUGAAUUGUUACGCUACGUAUUUAAAAGUGCUUAUGAAAUAUACUUGAAAAAAAUCGUUAUAGGAGGAAGCAGAAUUUCCUUUGUUGUAAAGUUGAUGUGUAAAUACUUAAUAAAUAUUGUAAAACC